CCCUACGGGGCGCAGCAGUGGGGAAUAUUGCACAAUGGGGGAAACCCUGAUGCAGCGACGCCGCGUGAAGGAAGAAGUAUUUCGGUAUGUAAACUUCUAUCAGCAGGGAAGAAAGUGACGGUACCUGACUAAGAAGCCCCGGCUAACUACGUGCCAGCAGCCGCGGUAAUACGUAGGUGGCGAGCGUUAUCCGGAAUGAUUGGGCGUAAAGGGUGCGCAGGCGGUCCUGCAAGUCUGGAGUGAAACGCAUGAGCUCAACUCAUGCAUGGCUUUGGAAACUGGAGGACUGGAGAGCAGGAGAGGGG
rnacentral:rRNA from 1 species